AUGGCCGCCGUGAUUGCAAAGUUCGUUGUGCCGGUGAUCGUGAUGGUCAUGGUGUUCUCGGCUGUGCUCGGCGCGGCGCGGCCGCUGGUGGGAGAGGAGUGGGGCGCCGGAGAAGCCACCUCCGGCGAGUCCGUCGUCGGGCUCAUCCGGCACGUGUAUCUGCAGCGACUGCAAGGGCCAGGUCACUCGUGCUCAACCUGGAACCCAAACGGCGGGUGCUGA
rnacentral:rRNA from 1 species